UGGCAAUGUCUCCUUGCCAUUAUCGAUGGAGGCACUCGGUCACGCUGUGGGUGGACAACCUUAGACGCGAAGUCGUCGCUGGUGUGAUGUGAGGAGGGGUUAGAUGCCUC
rnacentral:ncRNA from 1 species